AAAAACUCCGGUGGUGUGAGAUGGAUCCGCGUCUGAUUAGCCAGUUGGCGGGGUAACGGCCCACCAAAGCGACGAUCAGUAGCCGGCCUGAGAGGGUGACCGGCCACAUUGGGACUGAGACACGGCCCAAACUCCUACGGGAGGCAGCAGUGGGGAAUAUUGCACAAUGGGCGAAAGCCUGAUGCAGCGACGCCGCGUGAGUGAAGAAGUAUUUCGGUAUGUAAAGCUCUAUCAGCAGGGAAGAAAAUGACGGUACCUGACUAAGAAGCCCCGGCUAACUACGUGCCAGCAGCCGCGGUAAUACGUAGGGGGCAAGCGUUAUCCGGAUUUACUGGGUGUAAAGGGAGCGUAGACGGCGAAGCAAGUCUGAAGUGAAAACCCAGGGCUCAACCCUGGGACUGCUUUGGAAACUGUUUUGCUAGAGUGUCGGAGAGGUAAGUGGAAUUCCUAGUGUAGCGGUGAAAUGCGUAGAUAUUAGGAGGAACACCAGUGGCGAAGGCGGCUUACUGGACGAUAACUGACGUUGAGGCUCGAAAGCGUGGGGAGCAAACAGGAUUAGAUACCCCGGUAGUCCACGCCGUAAACGAUGAAUGCUAGGUGUUGGGGGGCAAAGCCCUUCGGUGCCGC
rnacentral:rRNA from 1 species